rnacentral:rRNA from 1 species
UACGUAGGCAGCGAGCGUUUGUUCGGAGUUACUGGGCGUAAAGGGUGUGUAGGCGGUUGUUUAAGUUUGGUGUGAAAUCUCCCGGCUCAACUGGGAGGGUGCGCCGAAUACUGAAUGACUUGGAGUGCGGGAGAGGAGAGUGGAAUUCCUGGUGUAGCGGUGAAAUGCGUAGAUAUCAGGAGGAACACCGGUGGUGUAGACGGCUCUCUGGACCGUAACUGACGCUGAGGAGCGAAAGCGUGGGGAGCAAACAGG